UGUUCAAGUAGAUUAAAAACUAAAUCGUAUCCCUGAAGAAGAUAAAAAAACUUUUAUGUUUUUGAACAU
rnacentral:tRNA from 2 species